GCUUAAAACCCAAAGGACUUGGCGGUGCCCCACACCCACCUAGAGGAGCCUGUUCUAUAAUCGAUAACCCCCGCUUAACCUCACCACUUCUAGCAAACUCAGCCUAUAUACCACCGUCGCCAGCCCACCCUGUGAAGGUACCCGAGUAGGCAUAAAUAUCUGUAAUAAAAACGUCAGGUCAAGGUGUAGCUUAUGAAGUGGGAAGAAAUGGGCUACAUUUUCUAUAAACGAAAAACCAUUAUGAAAUCUGGUUAGAAGGUGGAUUUAGCAGUAAAAAGAAACAAUAGUGUUCUUUUUAAAAUGGCCCUGGGGCGCG
rnacentral:rRNA from 1 species